AUGUGUAGGGGUUUCAUACCUUCAGGUGAGGGCUCAGGGGCAGGUGCUGGGGUGGACUCAACCACAGGAGCCUCUGCUGGGGCUGCAAUGUCCAUAGCAGGCUCUGAGAUGACGGCUGCUGCUGGAGCUUCAGGGGCUGCUUCUAAAGACACCGCUGGUGUAGAUGCUGGAACCACUGCCUCCUGGACCGGCUCAGCAGCAGCAGAUUCAGCCUCUGGUGCUGGAGUAGGGGGGCAUGGUGUCUCCACUGGUGCAGCAGUCUCAGCAGGGGCCGCUGGAGGCACCGUUGCCUCUUCAACAGCUUUGGCUGGAGAUAAUGGAGGCAUCUCUGGAAUAGUUGCUACAGCAAUCUCUGUAUCUAUUACAGGCUCUGCUGUCUCUGCAGGUGCUGAAGCCACAUCUGGUACUACACCUUCACCUGGUGAUGGUGCUGCAGCCUCACUUGGUGCUGGUACUGCAGCCACAGGCUCACUUGGAACUGGUGCUGCAGCCUCACUUGGUACUGGUGCUGCAGCCGCAGGCUCACUUGGUACUGGUGCUGCAGCCUCACUUGGUACCGGUGCUGCAGCCUCACUUGGUACCGGUGCUGCAGCCUCACUUGGUGUUGGUUCUGCAGCCUCACUUGGUGUUGGUUCUGGUGCUUCACUUGGGGCCUCACUUGGUGCUGGUGCUGGUGCUUCACCUGGUUCUGAGGAUUCACAUGGUGCUACUGAGGAAGUAACUGGUGCAGCAUUGUUAGUUGGAGCCUCUGCCUCCACAGGAGCAGCCACUUCCACAGGGGCCUCAGCCACUACAGCUGCUGCCUCUUCCACAACCACUGGGGCCUCUGCUGGCUCAGAUACAACAGGUUCAACAUCAGGGGUGGCAACUUCAGGAGAGGCCUCAACUGGCACAGCGGUCGUCUCCUCAACAACAGCAGGGGCCUCUGCCUGCACAGCCACAACAGAUUCAGCAGCAGGGGCUUCCUCUGUAGCCUCAACAAGGGCUUUGACCUCGGGGGCAGCCUCAGCCACUACAGUUUCUACAGGGGCAGCUUCCUCCACAGGGGGGAGUGCCUCCACCACAGCUACAGCAGCCUCAGGUUCAGUAAUGGCUUCAGUUGGAGCAGCAACCUCUGGAGCUGGUUCUGCAGGGGUGACAGGUUCUUGCUGUGGCUCAGGAGCAGCCAGGAGGUCCUCCCCAGAGCCAAGAUCCUCCUGGGCCUCCAAGGCUAUUAACACAGCCUCCGCCUCGUCAUCGGCACCCGGUUGAAGAUCGUCUGGUAAGGCAGUCUGCACAGGCAACUGCAUCUGGUCCUCGAUGGUUUGUGCAUCUUCUGCGAUGAUGCCGUUUUUGACUGCUGACAAUACACGGAUGACAAAAGAGAAGCUUGAUUAUGAUUUACUAUUUGCAUGUGGCACUUAUCAGUCUUCAUCAGUCCUUUCAGCUAAAGAGGCCCUGUAACGACAUGACAACGCUGAACAACAAAAAAAGCUUUCAAGAAGAUUCCUCAUUGUAUUAAGCUUGAAAAUUCUUGGGGGGUCCUUGAGCUAAUCUUUGAAUUGAAUGGUUUUGUUAAUAAAUGACCACAUUUGUCAUGAAAACAUUCUCAUC
rnacentral:lncRNA from 1 species